rnacentral:piRNA from 1 species
UGAUAGUGUGUAACAAAGUGAUAAGU